ACGAUGAAUCUUCUAGCUUGCUAGAAGUGGAUUAGUGGCGCACGGGUGAGUAAUGCAUAGGUUAUGUGCCCUUUAGUCUGGGAUAGCCACUGGAAACGGUGAUUAAUACUGGAUACUCCCUACGGGGGAAAGUUUUUCGCUAAAGGAUCAGCCUAUGUCCUAUCAGCUUGUUGGUGAGGUAAUGGCUCACCAAGGCUAUGACGGGUAUCCGGCCUGAGAGGGUGAUCGGACACACUGGAACUGAGACACGGUCCAGACUCCUACGGGAGGCAGCAGUAGGGAAUAUUGCUCAAUGGGGGAAACCCUGAAGCAGCAACGCCGCGUGGAGGAUGAAGGUUUUAGGAUUGUAAACUCCUUUUGUUAGAGAAGAUUAUGACGGUAUCUAACGAAUAAGCACCGGCUAACUCCGUGCCAGCAGCCGCGGUAAUACGGAGGGUGCAAGCGUUACUCGGAAUCACUGGGCGUAAAGAGUGCGUAGGCGGGGUAAUAAGUCAGAUGUGAAAUCCUGUAGCUUAACUACAGAACUGCAUUUGAAACUGUUACUCUGGAGUGUGGGAGAGGUAGGUGGAAUUCUUGGUGUAGGGGUAAAAUCCGUGGAGAUCAAGAGGAAUACUCAUUGCGAAGGCGACCUGCUGGAACAUUACUGACGCUGAUGCACGAAAGCGUGGGGAGCAAACAGGAUUAGAUACCCUGGUAGUCCACGCCCUAAACGAUGGAUGCUAGUUGUUGCCUUGCUUGUCAGGGCAGUAAUGCAGCUAACGCAUUAAGCAUCCCGCCUGGGGAGUACGGUCGCAAGAUUAAAACUCAAAGGAAUAGACGGGGACCCGCACAAGCGGUGGAGCAUGUGGUUUAAUUCGAAGAUACGCGAAGAACCUUACCUAGGCU
rnacentral:rRNA from 1 species